CGGCUAUACAGUGUUGAAACAGCGCUUCGCGUACGAUCAUCGAAGUGAAGCAACGUCGAGCCUAGUCAGUAUCUAGAUGGGUGACCGCUUGCGAAUACAUGGUGU